AUAGUAGUGAAGGGAGAGACCGGCUCAAUAAGGAGGCUCUGGGCAUGAGACUCUAAAUUCCUUCAGUUGAAGGGUAUUAUGUUACCUAAUGGACUGUGAAGAAUUGACAAGAUAUGUGCUGGUUUACCUAGUACACCCUGGCGGUUGGUCAGAGAUCUCAUAAUCGGCAAGAUUGGGGCACCUGCCCUGUUCCUGGGCCUUGGAGUUUGUUACAGCCUCAUCUGUGGGGUGGGAAGAUGGGCCAGGGAGGGCUUUUGACGUCUUUAAAUCCCACCUGGGAAGGAAUUUCUGACCAAAUGUCAGAUGAUACCAAUCAAAGUCUGAUCCAGCCCCAAGGGUGUUGCCAGAAUCCCCGUGCGCAGCCCACUCCAGAGAUGCCCCCAGGGCGCCCACCGCGCACCGGGGACACUCAGCACAAACUCCUCCCCACAUUUUUUUCCUGUAAGACGAGGAGUUCAUGGAUGUGGUCAGCUAUACAGCCUGUUUGGUCUGCAGGAUGUGCUGGGAAUCCUGUUCCUCUGGCAGACUAAACAGUCUCCAACUGCCUUUGGAAGUUGCAGCAACUGGACGGUACAAAGAAACAAACACUGAUAUGUGUGGAGAUGAGAGUAUGCACGCUAUGCUUUGUGCACUCAGUUACCCAAAAUGCUGAAGCAGAUUUGAGUUUACUUGCUCCUGUUGAGAAUGUAGAACAUCAUCAGAGCCUAGUGAAAUAUAACCAAAAAGGCUCCGCAGGUAUUUCUGGUGAAAUAUGGUAGAGCCAUUUCCAGGAAACAAGUUCCCUCCCACAGCAUAGAAGAGAACAUUUUGCUUCUUCACCCAAGAGAUCUACAGAAACUGCUGGUUGAUAGGAAGUACAUCAAGGAACUGGAAAAACGCCUUGCCUUGGCCGUUCCAGCUGCUGGCAGCUUCUGUGAUCAGUCUCAGAGGUCGGGUACGCCCUUCCAGGAUCACAAUUUUGAGCCUAUUCCUAGCGCCCCGUGCCAUCUUUGCCUCCAGCGAACGGAAACCCUUUGCCUUCCUGCAGAGCCGAGGGGGAUUCUUAUCUGCCUCCCCCACUCCUCUUUCCCCUCCUCCCAUUUAGCAGUUUGCGUUCUUAGCUUGUCUUUCAUUCAGCCAAGGGUAGUAUGUAAGAGGGCAUGACUUCUUGCCAAGAUCCAACAUUCUGGGGAAGACUGUGUUGCUCAGCUAGAGGAGGUCGGGGAGUGCGCCGGUGAGUACCCACCCUGGCACUACAGUGCUGGGCAAAUGUGUUUCUGGCCUCCUAAACUGGGUGUCUGAAUGUAUUUUACGAAAACAAGCCCCAUGGUUAAAACAGUGAUGAGUCUCAAACUACCAGCACAGCUUUAUACUUUGAGGACUUCAGUCCAAGCUCCCCAGAAGCGGGAAAGAGGCUUAAUACAGCCCACAGUGCAGCACUGCCUUCUGCCCUGUGAACCCAACCAGUGCGUAGAGCGCAUUGUGUGAGAAAAUACUUCCUAAAUCCUGAAUCUUAAGACUGUAAAGCAGAGAAUUACAAAUCAGCGACUCCCCUGUACAACGACCUGGGGUUCUACGGUUUAUUCACUCAGGUAUAUUGCUGAUUUCAUGCAUUUCUACUGUAUAUACAUUUCUACCAUAAAGAACUGACUUAGAUAAAUUUUACCAUCUAUUAGGAAAGUUUCGAUAGUCCUCAGUGACAAUAGGGAUGUUCAGGAAAUACGCCACUGGUGGGAGUGUAAAUCAUGCAACAUUUUAAGGCCAAUUAAGUAAUACCUAUGUAAAAUACUACUAUGAGAAACAUAAAUGUCCAUUGCUGAGUGUGGGUAAAAUUGUAACAUUUCUAGAAUAUCUCACCUAGCUUUAGUACAUCUGCUUAUCAAUAGGCAUUGAGAGGUUGAAAGAAGUAUGUCUUUAGUGCGUUUGUACCGUUCCUCAGGGGUGGAGAGAAAUUAAUCUCCAUAUCAAUGGGUAAUUACCUAGGCAAUGGAGGACUUACCUGUACUUGAGAGGUGAGGGGGAGGGCUGGUUUUGCUUCUGCUGGAGCAGGAAAGAGAAGGCCCUGGACUGCAGUUUGUAAGCAACAAAUGAAUUUUAAACUUUAUUUCUCCCUUUGACUGAUUUCAGUUUUAGAGGUAUUUUGCCCUGGGAUUUACUUCUCCCCGGACUUACACUGAGGUUCUGGUUAAAGCAUAGUAAUACAAAUAUUGGAAUAAUAUGAAAAAAACUUUUUUUUUUUAAGUAGCAGAUAGAUUUUACUGAUGUUCGAAAUUGCCCAACAUACACUUAAUUUGUAGGAAGAAAAGUUGUGGAAGAGGAUGCAUAUCAUGAUCCUAUUUAUGGAUUCUAUACACGUUUUUAUAUUUGUUGAGACGUGUGUACAUGGGGGUGUGUUUGCUUUAAUAUAAGCUUUGGAAUUUUGUUAAAGG